rnacentral:rRNA from 1 species
AUUGAACGCUGGCGGCAGGCUUAACACAUGCAAGUCGAGCGGAGAUGAGGUGCUUGCACCUUAUCUUAGCGGCGGACGGGUGAGUAAUGCUUAGGAAUCUGCCUAUUAGGGGGGGACAACAUUCCGAAAGGAAUGCUAAUACCGCAUACGCCCUACGGGGGAAAGCAGGGGAUCUUCGGACCUUGCGCUAAUAGAUGAGCCUAAGUCGGAUUAGCUAGUUGGUGGGGUAAAGGCCUACCAAGGCGACGAUCUGUAGCGGGUCUGAGAGGAUGAUCCGCCACACUGGGACUGAGACACGGCCCAGACUCCUACGGGAGGCAGCAGUGGGGAAUAUUGGACAAUGGGCGGAAGCCUGAUCCAGCCAUGCCGCGUGUGUGAAGAAGGCCUUUUGGUUGUAAAGCACUUUAAGCGAGGAGGAGGCUACUGGUACUAAUACUACUGGAUAGUGGACGUUACUCGCAGAAUAAGCACCGGCUAACUCUGUGCCAGCCGCCGCGGUAACAC